rnacentral:lncRNA from 1 species
GAUGGUUUUCUCUUACUGAAAGUCUGAUGUGGUAACUUUAAUGCUUCUAUGGCACUUAUAUGGCAUUAAAAUUAAAAAAAAAUAAAAAUAAUGAUUAUUUUUUCUUCUCCAAUCUUAUUUCUUUUUUUUUUCUCAUUAUCUUUCGAUCUCUUUUCUUUGAGGAGGAUAGGGCUAUAGAGGAAAUAGAGGUUUGAAAUGGGAGGAGAAGAUGAUGAAGCCGAUAUCUGC